GGCGGGAUACUCAAGUGGUCAACGAGGGCAGACUGUAAAUCUGCUGGCUUAGCCUUCGGCGGUUCGAAUCCGUCUCCCGCCACCA
rnacentral:tRNA from 1 species